GGUGGAUGGUACUGCUGCAUCCGGGUGUCUGGAGGCUGUGGCCGUUUUGUUUUCUUGGCUAAAAUCGGGGGAGUGAGGCGGGCCGGCGCGGCGCGACACCGGGCUCCGGAACCACUGCACGACGGGGCUGGACUGACCUGAAAAAAAUGUCUGGAUUUCUAGAGGGCUUGAGAUGCUCAGAAUGCAUUGACUGGGGGGAAAAGCGCAAUACUAUUGCUUCCAUUGCUGCUGUUUUUUACAGGCUGGUGGAUUAUCAUAGAUGCAGCUGUUAUUUAUCCCACCAUGAAAGAUUUCAACCACUCAUACCAUGCCUGUGGUGUUAUAGCAACCAUAGCCUUCCUAAUGAUUAAUGCAGUAUCGAAUGGACAAGUCCGAGGUGAUAGUUACAGUGAAGGUUGUCUGGGUCAAACAGGUGCUCGCAUUUGGCUUUUCGUUGGUUUCAUGUUGGCCUUUGGAUCUCUGAUUGCAUCUAUGUGGAUUCUUUUUGGAGGUUAUGUUGCUAAAGAAAAAGACAUAGUAUACCCUGGAAUUGCUGUAUUUUUCCAGAAUGCCUUCAUCUUUUUUGGGGCUGGUUUUUAAGUUUGGCCGCACUGAAGACUUAUGGCAGUGAACACAUCUGAUUUCCCACAGCACAACAGCCCUGCAUGGGUUUGUUUGUUUUUUUACUGCUCACUCCCAACCUUUUGUAAUGCCAUUUUCUAAACUUAUUUCUGAGUGUAGUCUCAGCUUAAAGUUGUGUAAUACUAAAAUCACGAGAACACCUAAACAACAACCAAAAAUCUAUUGUGGUAUGCACUUGAUUAACUUAUAAAAUGUUAGAGGAAACUUUCACAUGAAUAAUUUUUGUCAAAUUUUAUCAUGGUAUAAUUUGU
rnacentral:lncRNA from 1 species